GUAUCAUGGCUCAGGAUGAACGCUGGCGGCGUGCCUAACACAUGCAAGUCGAACGAAGAUGCAUUUCAGAUCCCUUCGGGGUGACGAGAUGCAGACUUAGUGGCGGACGGGUGAGUAAUGUAUGAGCAACCUGCCUUCAAGAGGGGAAUAACAGUCGGAAACGACUGCUAAUACCGCAUAAUAAAGCGUAGUCGCAUGACAAUGCUUUCAAAGGAGCAAUCCGCUUGG
rnacentral:rRNA from 1 species